rfam:Gasterosteus aculeatus cont1.009230, whole genome shotgun sequence.
CAAACGGCUCUUUUAACAGCCACACACGUUAUCAUUGAUGUCUGUU